AUUGAACGCUGGCGGCAGGCCUAACACAUGCAAGUCGAACGAGUGGCGGACGGGUGAGUAAUGUCUGGGAAACUGCCCGAUGGAGGGGGAUCACUACUGGAAACGGUAGCUAAUACCGCAUACCAUCGGAUGUGCCCAGAUGUGAUUAGCUGGUCUGUGGGGUAACGGCUCACUUAGGCGACGAUCCCUAGCUGGUCUGCGAGGGUGACCAGCCAGACUGGAACUGAGACACGGUCCAGACUCCUACGGGAGGCAGCAGUGGGUAAUAUUGCACAAUGGGCGCAAGCCUGAUGCAGCCAUGCCGCGUGUAUUAAGAAGGCCUUCGGGUUGUAAAGUACUUUCAGCGAGGAGGCGUUACUCGCAGAAGAAGCACCGGCUAACUCCGUGCCAGCAGCCGCGGUAAUUC
rnacentral:rRNA from 1 species